rnacentral:rRNA from 1 species
AGUGAACGCUGGCGGUAGGCCUAACACAUGCAAGUCGAACGGCAGCACAGUAAGAGCUUGCUCUUACGGGUGGCGAGUGGCGGACGGGUGAGGAAUACAUCGGAAUCUACUUUUUCGUGGGGGAUAACGUAGGGAAACUUACGCUAAUACCGCAUACGACCUACGGGUGAAAGCAGGGGAUCUUCGGACCUUGCGCGAUUGAAUGAGCCGAUGUCGGAUUAGCUAGUUGGCGGGGUAAAGGCCCACCAAGGUGACGAUCCGUAGCUGGUCUGAGAGGAUGAUCAGCCACACUGGAACUGAGACACGGUCCAGACUCCUACGGGAGGCAGCAGUGGGGAAUAUUGGACAAUGGGCGCAAGCCUGAUUCAGCCAUACCGCGUGGGUGAAGAAGGCCUUCGGGUUGUAAAGCCCUUUUGUUGGGAAAGAAAAGCAGCAGGUUAAUACCCCGCUGUUCUGACGGUACCCAAAGAAUAAGCACCGGCUAACUUCGUG